GUGCACGCUGGCGGUAGGCCUAACACAUGCCAGUCGAACGGCAGCACAGUAAGAGCUUGCUCUUACGGGUGGCGAGUGGCGGACGGGUGAGGAAUACAUCGGAAUCUACUUUUUCGUGGGGGAUAACGUAGGGAAACUUACGCUAAUACCGCAUACGACCUACGGGUGAAAGCAGGGGAUCUUCGGACCUUGCGCGAUUGAAUGAGCCGAUGUCGGAUUAGCUAGUUGGCGGGGUAAAGGCCCACCAAGGCGACGAUCCGUAGCUGGUCUGAGAGGAUGAUCAGCCACACUGGAACUGAGACACGGUCCAGACUCCUACGGGAGGCAGCAGUGGGGAAUAUUGGACAAUGGGCGCAAGCCUGAUCCAGCUAUACCGCGUGGGUGAAGAAGGCCUUCGGGUUGUAAAGCCCUUUUGUUGGGAAAGAAAAGCAGCAGGUUAAUACCCCGCUGUUCUGACGGUACCCAAAGAAUAAGCACCGGCUAACUUCGUG
rnacentral:rRNA from 1 species